UACUAGAGUAGCACUCGCAUAUCAAUAAGCGGAGGAAAAGAAACUAACAAGGAUUCCCCUAGUAACGGCGAGUGAAGCGGGAAGAGCUCAAAUUUGAAAUCUUAAAGGGUUUCCCUUUACGAAUUGUAGUUUAAAGAAGUGUUUUCUGUUGAGGUUUUGGUAAAAGUUCUUUGGAAUAGGACAUCAUAGAGGGUGAGAAUCCCGUAUUUGACCUUUACUUUCAACUUUGUGAUACACUUUCAAAGAGUCGGAUUGUUUGGGAAUGCAGUCCAAAAUGGGUGGUAAAUUUCAUCUAAAGCUAAAUAUUGGCGAGAGACCGAUAGCGAACAAGUACCGUGAGGGAAAGAUGAAAAGAACUUUGAAAAGAGAGUUAAACAGUACGUGAAAUUGUCAAAAGGGAAGCGUUUGACACCAGUGUUGUUUUUCUGAAAAUCAAUUAAAGAACUGUUUAUGCUAAGCUUGUUUAGACUUUAUCAGCUAUCUGUUUAGUUUUAGGCUUUUCUUUAAUGCACUUUUCAGUUAACAAGUCAACAUCAAUUUCUUUUGCUGUAAAAAAGCUUGAGGAAGGUGGCUUGAGAUUCGUCUUAAGUGUUUAUAGCCUCUUGCCUAUGCAGUCGGAGAGAUUGAGGUCUGCAGCGUAGAUCCUUCGGGGCUAAAUGCAUUUGUGCUAAGUUAUAGCAUUUUAUAGACAACUUGUUGACUAUGAUUUGUCUUGUAGCUUACUCGCUUAUGUUAUUUUACCUACGCUUAGGAUGUUGAGCGCAUGUCUCUCUCU
rnacentral:rRNA from 1 species